rnacentral:rRNA from 1 species
GACGAACGCUGGCGGCGUGCUUAACACAUGCAAGUGGAGCGACGAACCGGGCUUCGGCCCGGGGCAAAGCCGCGAACGGGUGAGUAUCACGUGGGUAACCUGCCCCGAUGACCGGGAUAACCCGAGGAAACUCGGGCUAAUACCGGAUGUGCUCUCCAUCCACCAGGGUGGAGAACAAAGGAAGCUUCGGCCUCCGCAUUGGGAUGGGCCCGCGGCCCAUUAGCUUGUUGGUGAGGUAAAGGCUCACCAAGGCAACGAUGGGUAGCUGGUCUGAGAGGACGAUCAGCCACACUGGGACUGGGACACGGCCCAGACUCCUACGGGAGGCAGCAGUGGGGAAUCUUGCGCAAUGCGCGAAAGCGUGACGCAGCAACGCCGCGUGAGGGAAGAAGGCCUUCGGGUUGUAAACCUCUUUCAGGAGGGACGAAGGUUCAGGCGCGAACAGCGUCCUGGACUGACGGUACCUCCAGAAGAAGCCCCGGCUAACUACGUGCCAGCAGCCGCCGUAACAC